GGACAGAUGGCUGAGUGGUUUAAGGCUACAGUCUUGAAAACUGUUGUGUAUUAACGUGCACCGUGGGUUCGAAUCCCACUCUGUCCU
rnacentral:tRNA from 1 species